AGCGAACGCUGGCGGCAGGCUUAACACAUGCAAGUCGAACGGGCAUCUUCGGAUGUUAGUGGCAGACGGGUGAGUAACACGUGGGAACGUACCCUUCGGUUCGCUAUAACUCAGGGAAACUUGACCUCAUACCGCAUAUGCUCAUUCGGGGUAAGGUCUACUGGCGAAGGAUCGGCUCGUGUCAGAUUAGAUUGUUGUUGGGGUAGCGGCCUACCAAGGCGACGAUCAGUAGCUGGUAUGAGAGGAUGAUCAGACACACUGGGACUGGGACACGGCCCAGAGUCCUGCGGAAGGCAGAAGUGGGGAAUAUUGGACGAUGGGCGAAAGCCUGAGCCAGCCAGGCCGCGUGAGUGAUGAAGGCCUUAGGGUUGUAAAGCUCUUUUGUCCGGGACGAUAGUGACGGUACCGGAAGAAUAAGCCCCGGCUAACUUCGUG
rnacentral:rRNA from 1 species